UACGGAGGGGGGCUAGCGUUGUUCGGAAUUACUGGGCGUAAAGCGCACGUAGGCGGCUUUGUAAGUUAGAGGUGAAAGCCCGGGGCUCAACUCCGGAAUUGCCUUUAAGACUGCAUCGCUAGAAUUGUGGAGAGGUAAGUGGAAUUCCGAGUGUAGAGGUGAAAUUCGUAGAUAUUCGGAAGAACACCAGUGGCGAAGGCGACUUACUGGACACAUAUUGACGCUGAGGUGCGAAAAGCGUGGGGAGCAAACAGGG
rnacentral:rRNA from 1 species